UACGUAGGGUGCAAGCGUUAAUCGGAAUUACUGGGCGUAAAGCGUGCGCAGGCGGUUUUGCAAGACAGAUGUGAAAUCCCCGGGCUCAACCUGGGAACUGCAUUUGUGACUGCAAGGCUAGAGUACGGCAGAGGGGGAUGGAAUUCCGCGUGUAGCAGUGAAAUGCGUAGAUAUGCGGAGGAACACCAAUGGCGAAGGCAAUCCCCUGGGCCUGUACUGACGCUCAUGCACGAAAGCGUGGGGAGCAAACAGG
rnacentral:rRNA from 1 species